UUUUAGUUUGCUUGCAACUGAAGAUGGCGACCGGCGCACGGGUGAGUAACACGUAUCCUUUCUGGCGAUAACUCCGGAAUAGCCUUUCGAAAGAAAGACUUAUACCGGAUGGCAUACGAAUAUCGCAUGAUAUUUUUAUUAAAGAAUUUCGGUUAUCGAUGGGGAUGCGUUCCAUUAGUUUGUUGGCGGGGUAACGGCCCACCAAGACUACGAUGGAUAGGGGUUCUGAGAGGAAGGUCCCCCACAUUGGAACUGAGACACGGUCCAAACUCCUACGGGAGGCAGCAGUGAGGAAUAUUGGUCAAUGGGCGAGAGCCUGAACCAGCCAAGUAGCGUGAAGGAUGAAGGCUCUAUGGGUCGUAAACUUCUUUUAUAUGGGAAUAAAGUUUUCCACGUGUGGAAUUUUGUAUGUACCAUAUGAAUAAGGAUCGGCUAACUCCGUGCCAGCAGCCGCGGUAAUACGGAGGAUCCGAGCGUUAUCCGGAUUUAUUGGGUUUAAAGGGAGCGUAGGUGGAUUGUUAAGUCAGUUGUGAAAGUUUGCGGCUCAACCGUAAAAUUGCAGUUGAAACUGGCAGUCUUGAGUACAGUAGAGGUGGGCGGAAUUCGUGGUGUAGCGGUGAAAUGCUUAGAUAUCACGAAGAACUCCGAUUG
rnacentral:rRNA from 1 species